UCAUGACUACUGAGCUGGAGAUGUCAGAAUAUCUCCUCAUUCUGAACACCAGCAUCAUGCAUCCUUUGCUCUGUUCUAGGCACAGCAAUCAAAAGUGCGAAUGCCCAAACUGGACCUGACUUCAGCCAGAGCAUUACUGGGACAUAUAAUCUAUGUUUAAUAUUUGAAGACUUGCCAGACUGCUUCCUAAAACACCUGCACCAUUUCACAUUCUCACCCACAAAGUACGAAAAGCUUCCAAUUUCUCUACAUCCUCAC